AAAUGCGAUAAGUAAUGUGAAUUGCAGAAUUCAGUGAAUCAUCGAAUCUUUGAACGCACAUUGCGCCCGCCAGUAUUCUGGCGGGCAUGCCUGUUCGAGCGUCAUUACAACCCUCAGGCCCCCGGGCCUGGCGUUGGGGAUCGGCGGAAGCCCCCUGCGGGCACAACGCCGUCCCCCAAAUACAGUGGCGGUCCCGCCGCAGCUUCCAUUGCGUAGUAGCUAACACCUCGCAACUGGAGAGCGGCGCGGCCACGCCGUAAAACACCCAACUUCUGAAUGUUGACCUCGAAUCAGGUAGGAAUACCCACUGAACUUAAGC
rnacentral:misc_RNA from 1 species